GCCCGCAGCUGCAAGUGAAUCAAUGCAGACAGCCCCUUAUGUCCAUCCACCCAGGACUCCUUUUGAUACCAAGGGUCUGCUCAUGCAUAUCCAGCUGAAGGAUCAAGAUCCCAGGUUGAAAGAUUUUUGGUUUGUUGAUGUUGUCCAGGUGCUAAAUGCCAAUUGCAUAUUAGUUUAGCGGAGAAGCAAGAUUUCUUUGGCAUUGUCUGUUAUUGUAUUGAUUUUGUAUUUGGCAGAGAGGAUACACCAGUUUUCAGGCACAAAUGACCUUCCUAAUAUCUCUUGUCUAACAUCUAACAAGAAAGCUUACUUAAUACCUCUCCCAACUAGAAAGUUGAUUCAAUAAAAGGUAUUACCAACCAAAUCUUGCUUCUCAUAUUCUCUGGAUCACCAUGGCUGCAAUGACAAUACAACACUAUUAUUUAAGUUGCAUACCUAUUGCCCAGAAGUUCGUGGACACUGUUGCCACCAUUACACAUCUGAUUUUCUCUUCACUGUCGCCAGCACAACAUAAAUUAUGUGACCCUGUGACCACGAAAUUAUGUUGGAGAAUCUCAACUUUUCCUGGCACAAAGCUAUACUUCUAGCCUUUAUGGUUCCAAAAGAACUUUGAAAGCACGAGUUUAGAGUAAUUAGUGAUGCAAUGUCUGUUUAAGUUUGCAGAAAACCAGAUACAAUGGCUGUGAGAGAUGUGUACUUCCACAUCCACGCCACAUUCAGUGUUCAUCUUGUCACAACCCAAGGGUGUGAUUUUGUUUGUGUGCGCUUCGGCACUGCUAAAUUAUUUCCCGCCACAAGGAGCUUUCUUUGCAGGGUGCAUUUCUUAGUUGCAAAG